CUGUAUAUUUCAAAUUAUAAUGAGCUACCCCCACCCCAGCAUUGUACACAGUACACCGAAAUUGUUUAACAAAGUUAGUUCAGAGUCCUUUUUGCUCUGGUGAGUCAAAGCUCAAAGAUGAAGUUUCAAAAAUAAAUCUGAUGUACGCACACUGUAUACUGACGUACAGUCUACACGCUGACACAUAGAGGUGCACACAACUACAAAUACCCACGAUUACAACA
rnacentral:lncRNA from 1 species